ACUACUGGAAGGCCUCCUUUGGCUUUGAAAACUCUAGGUUCAUUACUUUGUGGAAGAAAUAAAGCGAUAUGGAAGGAAACGUUAGACAAGUCAAUGGGCAUACUUGCUGAAAAUGUACAAAAGAAGUUGAGGAUUAGAUAUGAUGCCCCAAACGAAUGUCAGAGCAAAAUUUUUCUCGAUGUCGCAUGCUUUUUCAUCAAUGAGGGUAUGACUAAUGCCAUUUACAUGUGGACUGAUUGUAACUGUUAUCCUUACACGGGAAUUGAUGUCGUUGUUAGCAUGUCAUUGAUAAAGAUAAUGGAUGACAACAAAUUUUGGAUACAUGAUCAAUUGAGAGACCUGGGAAGGGAGAUUGUUUGUUAAGAAAGUUCUACAAAUCUUGGGAAGCAGAGUAGGCUGUGGAUUAGCGAGGAGGCCGUUGAAUUAUUAAGAACCAAAGGGAGGAAGAAAAAGGUUGAAGCACUUGAUCUGCAAGGGAGGAGUUCUCAUAUCUUAAUCAGCAAUGAAGAAAUUGAAAGGUUUGAGAAUUUGAGGUUCCUGAGAUUAUCCAACGGCACCUUUCUUGGGGAUUUUACCGAUUGUCUACCAAAUUUGGGAUGGAGUUCGUGGUAUUCUCCCCCACCAAAUUUUAGCGCGGUCAAUAUGCAUUUAAAGAAUUUAGUCAUCCUAGAACUUUUUGACAUUCACUUCAUAGAUGAUUCGAAAGUAUGGCAUAUAAUUAAGAUGGCAAUCAAACUUAAAAGUCUAGCCCUUGUAGAAUGUCAUCGCAUGACUAGAACUCCAGACUUGUCUGGCUGCCUGA